GAUGAACGCUGACGGAAUGCUUAACACAUGCAAGUCGAUGGGGAAGUGGUGCUUGCACCAUGGUAACCAUGGCGGACGGGUGAGUAACGCGUAAGGAACUUGCCUGCGGGACUGGGAUAACAGCAGGAAACUGCUGAUAAUACCGGAUAAGGUCAUUAAGCUGCAUAGCUUAGUGAUGAAAGGAGACGCCUGCGGAGAGCCUUGCGUCCUAUUAGCUAGUUGGAGGGGUAACGGCCCACCAAGGCGAAGAUAGGUAGCCGGCCUGAGAGGGUGGACGGCCACAAGGGGAAUGAGAUACGGCCCUUACUCCUACGGGAGGCAGCAGGGGGGAAUAUUGGAGAAAGGGGGCAACCCUGAUCCAGCAAUUCUGUGUGCACGAAGACGGUUUUCGGAUUGUAAAGUGCUUUCAGCAGGGAAGAAGGAAGUGACGGUACCUGCAGAAGAAGCGACGGCUAAAUACGUG
rnacentral:rRNA from 1 species